ACAAGCGGUGGAGCAUGUGGUUUAAUUCGAUGCAACGCGAAGAACCUUACCUACCCUUGACAUGUCCGGAACUUGCCAGAGAUGGCUUGGUGCCGAAAGGGAAUCGGAACACAGGUGCUGCAUGGCUGUCGUCAGCUCGUGUCGUGAGAUGUUGGGUUAAGUCCCGCAACGAGCGCAACCCUUAUCAUUAGUUGCUACGCAAGGGCACUCUAAUGAGACUGCCGGUGACAAACCGGAGGAAGGUGGGGAUGACGUCAAGUCCUCAUGGCCCUUAUGGGUAGGGCUUCACACGUCAUACAAUGGUCGGUACAGAGGGUUGCCAAGCCGCGAGGCGGAGCCAAUCCCACAAAGCCGAUCGUAGUCCGGAUUGUUCUCUGCAACUCGAGAGCAUGAAGUCGGAAUCGCUAGUAAUCGCAGGUCAGCAUACUGCGGUGAAUACGUUCCCGGGUCUU
rnacentral:rRNA from 1 species